UAUGGAGGAAGAACCUGCAGGUUCUGGCAGUGGAGGAUAUAUGUGGAGCGAGGGUGAGGUGGUUAUGAAGGGUCACCCCAAGAUUCUUGGCUGUACGGGUGGAAGAUACUACAAAGUCCUUGAUGAUCAGUGAGCGGUCGAUUGUCGGAGAGGAUUUGGCAGGGAUGUAGAGAAGCUCAGUCUUGCCAAGAUUAAGCUUCAGGUGGUGGGAAGUCAUCCACACAGAGAUAUCAGCCAAGCAGCCAGAGAUCUUUGUGGUGAUUUGUGUAUUAGGAGGGAAGGAAAGAAAGAGUUGAGUGUGGUAAAAAAAAUCCAUGGGAAGAGAUAACAGAACCAAGAGACAUGGUGUAUAGAUAGAAGAGGAGAGGACCAAGAACUAAGCCCUGCAGGACUCCAGUUUGUAGGGGGUGUGGUUCAGAGACUGAGCCCUUCCAAGUCACCUGGUAGGAACGACCAGAGAGGUAGGAAGAGAACCAUGUGAGUGCAGAUCCUGUGACACCCAUCCCAGGCAGUGAUGAGAGCUGAAUCUCAUGGUUGACUGUAUCGAAGGCGGCCGACAGGUCAAGGAAGAUGAGGACAGAGGAGAGGGAUUUGGCUCUAGCAGAGUGGAGUGCCUCGGUGACCAUGAGUAGGGCGGUCUCAGUGGAGUGGCCACUCUUGAAGCCGGACUGGUUGGGAUCGUGAAGACUGUUGUUACGACCUAAGGCUCGAUUUGGCCAUAACAUAAAAUGGACACAAACAACGAGGUGAAGGAAUUACAAAUAUUUAUUAAAUACCUUCUUUUUAUGAAGACUUAUGCAAGCCUUUUAAACAAGUGUCAAAACCAACAAUCAAAUACAGGCCUUUUUAACAAGUGUCAAAGCCAACAACCAAAUACAAAACACAAUGCCAGAGAGAGGAAGGAGCAUUCGCAGUGCAGCCAUGAGCUAAAGUGAGCUCUCUCCAGAAUGGUGAAGCUGUGCUUUUAAACCCCCAGCUUCCAGGUGUGUCAAAUCCAACAAUCAGUGCCGGCUCAGUUCUCCUUAGCUCCGCCCACCUUUCCGUUCCGUUCAGAGCACACGAGCAGAGAGAAAAACCCAGAGCAGAUCGCGAACCUGGGUCGCAACACUGUUCUGGAGGACAUUUGGUAUUGUUUGCGAUGGCAUUUGGUAUUAUUAAUGGUAGUGGCAUUAUUACCAUUGAAGUCAAUUCUAUUUGGCAGCCAUCUUGAAAACAUUCAAAACCAUUUCAGAUGGUUCUCAAUGUCAAAAACACGUGAUGGAAGUGUGAAGGAAGUACAUAUUAGGAAUGGAAGGCAGAGACACAGGUGGAACGGAUGAAUGGGAACGAAUGAAUGAGAGUAAAUGGGAAGACAAAGACUACAGAAAGCACGGAGGGUAACAAAAGGUGAAAACGCUGAGGGCCGGAAAUGGGUCCUGGAGCAGACUCGCCCCAGGGGCGGGAGGGGGUCCUGGAGCAGACUCACCCCUGGAGGAGACGAGCCAUGGAGCAGACUCACUCCUGGAGCAGACUCACUCCUGGAGGAGACGAGCCAUGGAGCAGACUCACUCCUGGAGGAGACGAGCCAUGGAGCAGACUCACUCCUGGAGCAGACUCACUCCUGGAGGAGACGAGCCAUGGAGCAGACUCACUCCUGGAGCAGACUCACCCCUGGAGCAGACUCACUCCUGGAGGAGACGAGCCAUGGAGCAGACUCACUCCUGGAGCAGACUCGCCGCAGGGCCAGAGACGGGCCAUGGAGCAGACUCACUCCUGGAGCAGGGGUGGCCUGUAGCGUAGUGGUUAAGGUAAAUGACUGGGACGAUCCCAAACAACGAGGAACCUUCCACUAGGCUUGAGAAAUUUGCAUUCGCUAAAAAAAAAAUAAGACCUGCAAGGUUCUAAUCCCGGUGUAGCCACAAUAAUAUCCGCAUUGGCCGUUGGGCCCUUGAGCAAGGCCCUUAACCCUGCAUUGCUCCAGGGGAGGAUUGUCUCCUGCUUAGUCUAAUCAUCUGUACGUCGCUCUGGAUAAGAGCGUCUGCCAAAUGCCAAUAAUGUAAUGUAAUGUAAUGGAGCAGACUCGCCCCAGGGCCGGAGAUGGGUCCUGGAGCAGACGUGGGAAGGAAGUAGCUAACAAUGUGCAUGUCACAUCCACAAUGCAAUGCCGUCACAUCCAUAACAAUGGUAUCUCCUCAUAAAAAUCAAAACGAAGAUAUAAAUAUUUUCAAAAUUGCUAUUUAUAUGUUCAGCCAAGCCCACAUUACAUGGAUAUCAAACUUUGUACAUUAGACUUUAAUUCUUUUUUAGAAAAUGUAGUCUUAUUGCGUCACAUGAUCCAUAACAGCAUAUAGUCAUAUUUGUUCUGGCUUAACAAUAUUUUUACAUACAUUUUUUGCCUCUUCCCCUAAGCCAUGUGGGUGCUAUGAUAAUAAGCAUUACAAUUUUUAUCAUUUAAGAAGAGUAAUUUUUCUGAAGGAUUUUGAUUGUUAUUUCGUGUCCAAAUGUCACAUCCAUAACGCUGGAAUUGCCCAUAAGAUAGUCAAUAAGCAACUUUAAUUAUAAACCACAUUCCAUAAAGAGAAAACUUUCAAUUGUACAGACAUUAACUUCCUGUCACUGCACAUCGUUUGGUCCUCAAUCUGAGCAAGUUUGCCAAAAUAAUUUGACAGUGACUAACCUUCUCCUUCUUUGUUUUUGUUUUUUUCUGGGUCUUGAACCACUCACCCCUCUGGCCGGAGUCCUUGGAUCGCUCCUGCCCAGUAGCCCGCCUUUGAGGUGGUGGACCACUUCAGCCCUGCUCCUCCCCUGGUUCAUGCCCACGCCUCGACACAUCCUGGGAUGGUUUCUGACACUUCUGGUCCUGGAGGAGACGUGGCGCAGGGGCCGGAGACGGGUCCUGGAGCAGAAGCGGCACGGGGGCUGGAGACGGAAACAGUCAUUGGUCAUUAUCCAGGCAGACAGGGCUCAAGCCACUUCCCCCGCCCAGAGUACUCGGAUCGCCCCAGCCCUAUAGCCCGCCUUUGAGGUGGUGGACCACUUCAGCCCUGCUCCUCCCCUGGUUCGUGCCCACACCUGAAUGCAUCCUGGAGCUACAGUUGCAUCAACCUGCCUCACUAAAACUGCUCACGAUACUUUCCCUCAUUUGGACUUCCUAAUUUUCCAGCGAGUAUUACCUGAACUGUGAAAUGUGAUUCAACCCAUUUGAAUUUCUGUAAUACAUUUCUUACUAGUUUAUGAUAUAUCCAUCCUACCUUUUCUUCACACCUUGCUGGCCAGUGGAGGAUGGCUUCCCCAUUAUAGCCGGGUUCCUCCCGAGAUUUCUUCCCAUUGGGGAGUUUUUUCUCGCCACUGUUUGCUAUUUGGGGGGCCUGGUGUUUCUUUUUCUUUUUUCCUUCUGUAACUCUAUAAAACAUCUUUGUGCCAGUCCUCUGUGAAAAGUGUUAUACAAAUUGAAUAACUUUCUGAAUUUUCUGAACUUUCUGAAGGAUUUUGUUUGCCUGGCAGCCCAUCAGACCUGUAUGAUAUAUGUAAAUAUAUGUGAAUAAAAUCUAUUUAAAUUA